CGAUUCCCACUCCAUUCCAUUACCAUAAUCAAAACCCAAUUACCCAAAUACCAAAAUUUGUGCUCUCACCAGUCACCACCUGAGCAAAGAAAGAGAGCCAAGCCAAGCAAGGCAGCUCAUAGCAUCACUCUCUCUCACACACACACACACGCAUACAGCACUCUCUCGCUUUCCAUCCCUACUUUCUCUCAUACCGUUAGUCCCAAAAUCAAACACCUUAACCCAAAAAUCCCUCUCUUUCUCAAAUCCCUUCUACAAUGCCAGCUUCCCCUUCCUUCCCUUCAGAGACCCGCACCAAAUGGAAGAAGCGAAAGAGAGAGCCCCAAAUCAACCGGAGGCAGAAGCACGACGAAGAAGACGAAGACGAAGAAGACAACCACGACGACGACCUAGACCCCCAAAACGACUCCGAGGACCCUCAAUCCGACGCCGUUCCGCUCGAUCCCAACGGCCUUAACGAGAGCGAGGUUUUGUCCGACACCGGCGCUCGAAUCUCCGACUUCCCUCCGGUCGUCAGGCACGCCGUCAAUCGCCCUCACUCCUCCGUGCUGGCUAUUGCGGCCUUAGAGCGUGCCAAUGAGAGUGGAGACAGCAAGGGCCAGAGUUCGAUGGUUUUGGAGAAUGUUUCGUAUGGUCAGCUCCAGGCGCUUUCCGCCGUGCCUGCCGAUUGUCCCGUCUUCGAUCAGGACCGGAUGGAUGGCGCUGCCGCCGCCGCCGCCGCUGCCUAUGUGAUCACGCCGCCGCAGAUUAUGGAAGGCCGCGGGGUUGUCAAGCGGUAUGGGAGUAGGGUUCAUGUGGUGCCAAUGCAUUCAGAUUGGUUUUCACCGGCUACAGUGCAUCGACUGGAGAGGCAAGUAGUGCCACAUUUCUUCUCUGGGAAAUCACCAGACCACACACCAGAGAAAUACAUGGAAUGCAGGAACUACAUUGUCGCCAAAUACAUGGAAAAUCCGGAGAAGAGGCUCGUGGUCUCUGAUUGCCAAGGAUUGGUAGUUGGUGUUGAUAAUGAAGAUUUAAAUCGAAUUGUUCGGUUUCUUGAUCAUUGGGGAAUUAUCAAUUAUUGUGCUGUGGCACCAAGUCGUGAGCCUUGGAAUGGUGGGUCCUACUUAAGGGAGGAUCCAAAUGGUGAGAUCCAUGUGCCGUCAGCUGCUUUAAAGUCCAUUGAUAGUUUAAUCAAAUUUGACAAGCCCAAAUGUCGGCUCAAAGCAGCUGAUGUUUAUUCGUCAUUGUCAUCUCAUGAUGCUGAUGCCUCUAAUCUGGACAACAGAAUCCGUGAGCGUCUGUCUGAAAAUCAUUGCAAUUAUUGUUCUCGGUCUCUUCCCACUGUGUACUAUCAGUCACAAAAAGAGAUUGAUACACUACUAUGCUCUGAUUGCUUCCAUGAGGGGAGGUUUGUUACUGGCCAUUCUAGCAUAGAUUUUAUAAGGAUGGAUUCUACAAAUGAUUAUGGUGAUCCAGAUGGGGAAAGUUGGACUGAUCAGGAAACUUUACUACUACUUGAGGCAAUGGAAAUCUACAAUGAGAAUUGGAAUGAAAUUGCCGACCAUGUUGGUACCAAGUCUAAAGCACAAUGCAUUCUUCACUUUCUCCGUCUUCCCAUGGAGAAUGGCCUACUGGAAAAUAUUGAAGUUCCAGGCAUAUCAUCCAACUCGUUAAAUGGAGAUGACCGUGGAAGAUCAAAUUCAAAUUAUAAUGGGGAUUCAGCAGGAUCUUGCCAUCAAGAUGCUGAUCCUGAAAGCAGACUCCCUUUUGCAAAUUCUGGGAAUCCAGUUAUGGCCCUGGUUGCCUUUUUGGCCUCUGCUGUUGGACCAAGAAUUGCCGCAGCCUGUGCCCAUGCUUCUUUGGCAGCAUUGUCUGAUGAGAAUGGCUUAUCUGCUUCUGGAAGCAUUAUACAGAUAGAAGGAUCUGGACAUGGUAAUAGGAUGAACUCAGAGAGUGUACAUGGCAGAGAAGGUGUUCGUCAUGGAGAAAUUGCAAAUUCAAUCCAUCAAAAAGAAGAGAAUUCAGGAGUACAUGGUUCAUGGGGUCAAAAUGAGGCAAAGAUUCCAUUAUCUGCAGAAAAAGUUAAAGCUGCUGCUAAAGCUGGCCUUGCUGCUGCAGCAACAAAGGCAAAGCUGUUUGCAGAUCAUGAAGAACGGGAAAUUCAGCGGCUAUCUGCUAAUAUCAUAAACCAUCAGUUGAAAAGAUUGGAGCUGAAGCUGAAGCAAUUUGCUGAAGUGGAAACAUUUUUGAUGAAAGAAUGUGAACAAGUUGAGAGGACAAGACAGAGGAUUGCUGCUGAGAGGGCCCGCAUGAUAUCAGCUCGAUUUGGAUCUGCUGGGGCCACUUCACCAAUGAUUCUACCAGGUGUUGGUCCUUCCAUGGUUAACAAUAAUACCAGCAACAAUAGGCAACAAAUUAUAUCAGCUUCACCUUCACAGCCGAGCAUUCCGGGAUAUAAUAACAAUCAACCAGUCCAUCCCCACAUGCCAUUUAUGCCGCGGCAGCAAAUGUUUGGAAUGGGGCCAAGGUUGCCUAUGUCAGCAAUACAGCAGUCACCUACUUCAAAUGUCAUGUUCAACUCUUCAGGGAAUGUACAGCCUACUCUCAAUCAACCAAUGCUUCGACCUGUAUCUGGUACUAGCUCUAGUUUAGGUUAGAAAAGAGAACAUUAUAUUAGUUCUCAAUUUUAUGAUUCAAUUCCUUUUGGUGAUUCAUUUCUGCAUUGGAUACGAAAAGGGCAGAAAAAGGUUAAAUGGAUCAGCCAAGAAAUCUGCCUCACAUUUGUCUAUUUUUGAUUUAAACAGAAAUUAGAUGGGGCAGAUAUUGUAGGUCUUGUAAUUGUAUACUGUCAAAAAUAGGAAUUAGUUUCUCCCAAAGCAAAUUAUACUAUGAAAUUAGUGUUCGGAAUAGAUUUGGUUGGCUCAUCCUUGAAUUUAAAAAGUAUAUUCUUUCA